rnacentral:tRNA from 1 species
GCCUCAGUGACUCAGUUGGUUGAGCGUCUGACUUCAGCUCAGGUCACCAUCUCAUGGUUCGUGGGUUUGAGCCCCACAUAGGGCU